AACGAACGCUGGCGGCGUGCCUAACACAUGCAAGUCGAACGUGAAAGGGCUUCGGCCUGAGUAAAGUGGCGCACGGGUGAGUAACGCGUGGGUAAUCUGCCUCUGGGCGGGGGAUAACGGGUCGAAAGACCCGCUAAUACCGCAUGAGACCACGGCCCUGUGGGGCUGUGGGAAAAGAUGGGGAUCUUCGGACCUGUCACCUGGAGAUGAGCCCGCGUACCAUUAGGUAGUUGGUGGGGUAAUGGCCCACCAAGCCGAAGAUGGUUAGCUGGUCUGAGAGGAUGAUCAGCCACACUGGAACUGAGACACGGUCCAGACUCCUACGGGAGGCAGCAGUGGGGAAUAUUGCGCAAUGGGGGAAACCCUGACGCAGCAACGCCGCGUGUGUGAUGAAGGCCUUGGUCGUAAAGCACUGUGUAGGUGGAACGAGCCGCCGGGGGUUAAUACCCGUCCGGCCCCGAC
rnacentral:rRNA from 1 species